rnacentral:rRNA from 1 species
AUUGAACGCUGGCGGCAGGCCUAACACAUGCAAGUCGAACGAGUGGUGGACGGGUGAGUAAUGUCUGGGAAACUGCCUGACGGAGGGGGAUAACUACUGGAAACGGUAGCUAAUACCGAAUACCAUCAGACGUGCCCAGAUGGGAUUAGCUAGCUGGUGGGGUAACGGCGCACCAAGGCGACGAUCCCUAGCUGGUCUGAGAGGAUGACCAGCCACACUGGGGGUGGGGCACAGUCCGCACUCCUGCGGGACGCAGCAGUGGGGAAUGUUGGUCAAUGGGCGCAAGCCUGAUGCAGCCAUGCCCCGUGUAUGAAGCAGGCCUUGGGGUUGUAGAGUCCUUUCGGCGGGGAGGCGUUACCAGCAGAAGAAGCACCGGCUCACUCCCUGCCAGCAGCCGCGGUAAUAC